rnacentral:rRNA from 1 species
UACAGAGGCCUCGAGCGUUAGGCGGAAUCACUGGGCUUAAAGCGUGUGUAGGCGGACUUCUAAGUACCUUGUGAAAUCCCACGGCUCACCCGUGGAACUGCUCGGUAUACUGGUCGUCUUGAGCCUUCUAGGGGCGAGUGGAACAAAUGGUGGAGCGGUGAAAUGCGUAGAUAUCAUUUGGAACGCCAAUGGUGAAAACAGGUAACUGGGAGUGUGCCGACGCUGAGACACGAAAGCCAGGGGAGCGAACGGG